AAAAAAAAUCCAACGGGAUUUACCGAAGCCUUCCGAUUCUUUCUUUAUACGCACUUGCAGAAGGAGAAGAAGCUCCAUUUAGCAGUACAGUCAAGGAGACCUUUUAUUCACAAUGGCAGACCGAAGAGAUGACCCAGGCAAAUUUUUUGUUGGAAACCUUAGCUGGGAGACAGAUAAUGAGAGUUUAUGGAACUACUUCAGUAAGUUUGGGCCACUGUCAGAUGCUGUUGUAAUCAUGGACAGAGAAACCGGAAGGUCCAGAGGUUUUGGUUUUGUGACAUUCAGAGAUCCAAGAAAUUUAGACGUAGUAUUUCACCACCAACAACAACACGAAAUUGAUGGAAGACAGGUGCUCUACUAAAGGAGUAUAUGCCUGUUGCAGAGGACAGAGCAAGAGCAGGGCAUGAGGUGGAAAGCUUGCUUUAUGUAUAAGCUUAACAGCAACACCUCAAUAAAUGUACAGAGUGAUGGGUCAGUGCCAAACCUUGCAAUAACAGAUAAACUGUUUAUGGUGUUGAAGUAAAAAAAAAGACUUAAAAUGUGUAUUGACACAUAACUAGUGGUGUAUAUAAAUCUCCAUGAUUUGUAACUAUGUGUCAUUUGUUGUCUUGAAAAUUCCAUUUGUUUUUAAAUAUGAAAACUUCUCAUUUUAUACCAUUGCAUUGUGCACUUUGUAACAGUUAGAAUUAUUCAACAAUUAGUGUUUGAACAUAGGAGCAAAGUUAUCCAUGGAUUCAAUCAUAAAAUUAAUUAAAAAUGUUAGAAAAUCUACAUUAAUUUCAUGUAUUUUAAUUGAUCACUGUCUUCAGAAGAAGUAAAUUAUAUAAAGUCUUUAAAA